rnacentral:rRNA from 1 species
UACGAAGGGGGCUAGCGUUGUUCGGAAUUACUGGGCGUAAAGGGCGCGUAGGCGGCGUGACAAGUCACUUGUGAAAUCUCCGGGCUUAACCCGGAGCGGCCAAGUGAUACUGUCGUGCUAGAGUGCGGAAGGGGCUACUGGAAUUCUCGGUGUAGCGGUGAAAUGCGUAGAUAUCGAGAGGAACACCUGCGGCGAAGGCGGGUAGCUGGGCCGACACUGACGCUGAGGCGCGAAAGCCAGGGGAGCGAACGGGG